CAGCACCUCAAGUGGUCAGGAUGAUUAUUGGGCCUAAAGCAUCCGUAGCCUGCUUUGUUAGUUUUCGGUUAAAUCCAUACGCUCAACGUAUGGGCUGCCGGGAAUACUGCAGCGCUAGGGAGUGGGAGAGGUAGACGGUACUCGGUAGGAAGGGGUAAAAUCCUUUGAUCUAUUGAUGACCACCUGUGGCGAAGGCGGUCUACCAGUACACGUCCGACGGUGAGGGAUGAAAGCUGGGGGAGCAAACCGGAUUAGAUACCCGCGUAGUCC
rnacentral:rRNA from 1 species